GACGAACGCUGGCGGCGUGCUUAACACAUGCAAGUCGUACGGUAAGGCCCUUUCGGGGGUACACGAGUGGCGAACGGGUGAGUAACACGUGAGUAACCUGCCCACAACUUUGGGAUAACGCUAGGAAACUGGUGCUAAUAAUGGAUAUGUGCUCCUGCUGCAUGGUGGGGGUUGGAAAGCUCCGGCGGGUGUGGAUGGACUCGCGGCCUAACAGCUUGUUGGUGGGGUAGUGGCCUACCAAGGCGGGGACGGGUAGCCGGCCUGAGAGGGUGACCGGCCACAUUGGGACUGAGAUACGGCCCAGACUCCUACGGGAGGCAGCAGUGGGGAAUAUUGCACAAUGGGCGCAAGCCUGAUGCAGCAACGCCGCGUGCGGGAUGACGGCCUUCGGGUUGUAAACCGCUUUCAGCAGGGACGAAGCUUUUUGUGACGGUACCUGCAGAAGAAGCACCGGCUAACUACGUG
rnacentral:rRNA from 1 species